rnacentral:tRNA from 1 species
UAAAUCAUAGUCAAUAUAAUGACGUAUGAGUUGCAUUCAUAAAGAGUUUUCUUUAAACUGAUUUAA